GAAAUACCACCCUUUAAUGUUUGAUGUUCUAACGUGGACCCGUGAUCCGGGUUGCGGACAGUGUCUGGUGGGUAGUUUGACUGGGGCGGUCUCCUCCUAAAGAGUAACGGAGGAGCACGAAGGUUGGCUAAUCCUGGUCGGACAUCAGGAGGUUAGUGCAAUGGCAUAAGCCAGCUUGACUGCGAGCGUGACGGCGCGAGCAGGUGCGAAAGCAGGUCAUAGUGAUCCGGUGGUUCUGAAUGGAAGGGCCAUCGCUCAACGGAUAAAAGGUACUCCGGGGAUAACAGGCUGAUACCGCCCAAGAGUUCAUAUCGACGGCGGUGUUUGGCACCUCGAUGUCGGCUCAUCACAUCCUGGGGCUGAAGUAGGUCCCAAGGGUAUGGCUGUUCGCCAUUUAAAGUGGUACGCGAGCUGGGUUUAGAACGUCGUGAGACAGUUCGGUCCCUAUCUGCCGUGGGCGCUGGAGAACUGAGGGGGGCUGCUCCUAGUACGAGAGGACCGGAGUGGACGCAUCACUGGUGUUCGGGUUGUCAUGCCAAUGGCACUGCCCGGUAGCUAAAUGCGGAAGAGAUAAGUGCUGAAAGCAUCUAAGCACGAAACUUGCC
rnacentral:rRNA from 1 species